CUCAUCUCUCUAGAAUAACACCCACUUUCAUAGCCAAAGCAGCAUGCAAAACAGAUCUACAUAAUACCUGUUUUGGCCAGGGCGGCAGUGCCACCCAUUAUUGACCGUUGAGACUCAGGUGGUACUUAUACCUCCAGACUUGUCCCACAAUGGUCAUCUGCUUCCUCACUCGACACAACUCGCAGGCAGACAGACCAGAGCUCUCUCUCUCUCUCUCUCUCUCUCUCUCUCUCUCUCUCUCUCCCUCCCUCCAUUGUUGCUCCUUCACCCCUCAAGCAAAUCCUUGAUUCCAACCAUCAAACCUUGAGAGAAAAGGCAGCAAAACUCAAUUGGAGAGUAGAUCCACUGGUUCUCAAAGUCUAAGAGCAUUUUGUUCACGUUUGGCUGACGAUUUUAGGGUUUGUUACUCUUGGAGCUUGCUCCUAGCCGGCUAGGCGUCGCCCUUGAGCUUGCCCUCUUGUGUGGCAACCUAGGGAAGUUUGUAACCUCACUCUUACAGCUAAGAAAUUACCCCUCACCCCAAGAGUUCACUCUCUUGACUUGAGAACAAGGGUAGGACAAGCCUUUGUGGCAAGCUUAAGCCUUUGGUGGCUUCCUCAACAACGUGGAUAUAGGCAAACCUUAGUGGUGAGCUGAACCACGGGAUAAAUCACUAAGUCUUGUGUGCUACUGCAGAUUAUAUCUUGUGAUUGACCCUUUCUAGGGUUUGGAGACGAUCUAGUAUGGUGAGAGUUUAUGUGGUACGUAGUCCUCGUAUUGGAUCUUGUGUUGAUUUUGCAGGAUUGCGUAGUUUAGAGUUUCAAUUUACUUUCUGCAAAAUCUCGUUACUAUCUGCUCAUAAGUCAAAGGCCGACAUUGUCGCCCUCUGUUCUAACAGAGUUCUGAGUUAAAUUUUUAUAUUCCUAUUCACCCCCCUCUAGGCCUCCUAUACCUUCCAAGAGAUCCUACUGAAUAUUUCUACAAUGGUUGGAGAGGCGAUGAGAAGCGAUUAGUAUGUCUAUGGUUGGUGGACCCAGAACAUGAAAAGCGAUGAGAGGCGAUGGGAGCAAGGCGAUGGAAGGUGAUAGGUGUGCGUGUGUCUAUGGUCGGUGGGCCAUAGACGUCACAUCGCCUCCCAUCGCCUCUUAAAUUAUGGAGAUUAGGACCCUAAAUAGAGGAGUGGUAAUUUCUUUUUUAAUAAAGGGUAAAUUCAUAAUUGUAAAAAUAAUAUUUUGAGUAGCAUAGUUAGGGUGUAUGAUUCAAGUACUAUAGUUAGUUAGAUAAAAAUCUUCUUCUUAUUUUUUUAAAUCUUCUUAGUGUUCCACCCGUCAGCGUCCACCAGUGCGUGUUACAGGGAGCCAUCGCCGCCGAUGAUAGGGGGGUUUGAGAGAACCUUGUACAAUAACGUUAUUACUCUUCCACGAAUUAAAUCAAGAAAAAAGUUUUUUAGCGGAGGCGAUGGGAAGCGAUUCCAACCAUUGUAAAAGGUCUCAUAUUAUGAAUGUAUUUCUUAUUAGAUAUGGUGAUGCUGCCAACUUCGUGAUGUAAAUCUAUAUAAAAAUUAUACAUUGGUGGUCAUUGUUCAAAUAAAUAGUCUUAGACAAACCUAAAUGAACUUAUAUAUUAUGACCUAUGGAAAUAUACACUAGUGGUAGGACUCCACUUAUAGCAAAGAAGGCGUAAGAAAAUAGGGCUGAUUUAUUUUGCGCUUUCCCUUCACGUCUUUUCCUUUGAACACUCCCAAAGAUAAGAGCCGAAGGGUCUAACAACGAGGUAUCAGUUAGGUUAGGCUUGAUCACAGACAAUAUAACUCGACGUAUUUAGUAUGCCCAAUCGCCUCGACUCCAACAUUAGACCAAAUUACGAAGGAUCCUAGAAAUACCCAAAAUUAAAUAUUAAGUAGAUUCUGACUUAUCUUUUCUAUUUCUUGCCAUUUUUAAGCAUCUCGACUCUCUGACACUUUAUCAAAUCUAGUUUAUGUGUAGGCCUUUGAGUGGGUGAGAGAUAAUGUUCUCCGGCGAUAAAGAAAACCAUUAUGUGGCGGUCAUGGAAAGAAAAUAACAAACUUUAGAUUUUUAUUAUGGCAAUGACUUUGAUACAAGUGUGUGGGCGAUAAACACACCGCACGCCUGCACGCCAACCACAAUUCUUCCACUUCUCGCCAGCCCGCGUCCACUCUUCUCUCUCCCUCUCUCUCUAUCUAUGAUGACCUCCCCCAAAUCCGGCAAGCCAGUGGAUCUGAUGGUGGCAUGGACUCUCCUUUCCCCCUCUCCCUCGGACCAGCGACCUCCUUCACAACUCCGGCGAGUGGAUCCGGUGGCGACAUGGAGGAUUCGGUCAGAUCCAAACGACGACCAAUGCAGAUCCGGUAAGGUAUGUUUCCUCAUCCUCCUCCUUAGGGUUCCGAUGAGCUCCCUCUCAUCUUCCCAAACUCCAGCGGCCUUAGAAGCAAAGGGGCAAGGGGAGGAAGGGUAGCCAGGCGGUGGGGUUGCGGCAGGCGGUGUAGGGGUCCUGACGAAGGUGGAGGUGGCCGGGCAAGGUCAUGGUGGGGGAACCAUGGCCAUGGUGGCAGCGACGGAUAAGGGAGGAAGGGGAAGAAGGAGGUGUCAUGGGCAAGCUAGGAUUUUGCCGAAGUUCCAAAGUCAUGGCUGCGGCCAUGACCCGCGGAGCUCCGACAAAACCCUAGAUCAUCGCGGCUAUAGAUGGCCAUAAGGCUCACAGCCCAUCAACAUAGCCCAUGGCCCACUGUUUUGGCCUAGCCUAGGCCCUUGGGCACGUGCUGACCUAGCCCAACCCGAUCAACCACCUUUAUUUACUUUCCAUAUAUAUAAAUAUAUGAAAACCCUAAUUUACUUCUUAGAUUCCCUUCCACCACAAAUCUAUUUGGCUAUUAUGUUGUGCGGAGUAGGUUGCACACCUUCCUCUUCCCCAACGCUACUCUAAUUUCUCUGCUCCCCUCCAGCGUGCAUCCCAUAGCCACACGUGCUUUCCCUCUUGCAGACGCCCACCUCUCUAGCUCUGAUUUCUUUGAUUCCUCCACGGAUCCUGCUGCCUCCGUGGAUCUAAUGCGCGACGCACAACACCGGCGCCAACUGUAGCACGCCAAGCUCCAACAUCGGCGUCCCCAGGUGAGCAACAACAACAAGCUCCAACAUGCGGAGCCCCUCUAUCUCUACCUAUGCCUGCAAGAACGACGACCUCAACUAGCGCGGGCAACAACUGCACGUCAAGCCUAGCAGGUCGUCGGGCUAUCCCGGCACAACUCAUCCCCUUUAGGGUCAUGCUUGGGUCAUUGGUGCAGCUCAUGGGCUGGCACGGAACAGCCCAAUGCACCUAAUGGGCCGUGCCGACUUGCUGACCUCUAGGACGUGCCAAGCAUGGGCCUGUGCCGUGUCGAGCCAGGCGGCUCGAAUGGCUAUCUAUAGUCGCGGUGGUAGGGACGAGGGUCACCUACGAGGUAGAAGGUGCCAGUGAGGAGGAAGAAAGGGAAGGGGGCGGCACGAGAAAAGCGUGCUUUAGCCACAUCUUUUUUUUGAACUUUUAGCCACAUCCUUUUAUUAUAAUAGAUCGAUAUAAUAAAGUUGUUGCUUAUAUAUUCAAGCUAUUUUCUACUAACACUGGCGUGCUAGAGUUAGGUAUUUUUAUCUAAAAUCCUAAUUUUCAAGAAUCUUGUUAAAAUAUUUGGAAAAUAUUUAUUUAAUUUCGCUGAUCAUAUGAAACCCCACUGUGCUGGCUAUUUUAGCAGAGCAGAGUUAACACCAUUGUCGGUUUGGAACUCUUGAUCGGCUCGGGUCGGCUGGAGCCAAGAACAGCACUGGAAGAAAGGUCAUCUCUAGAAGAUUGGCGCUGAUUAGAAGCAAAAAGACAGAGCCUUGUCCUGCCACGUAAGGACGGCACCAGCCAACUUGCCAGGUCAUAGCCACAUAGGGGCGACGCCAACCAACUUGCCCGGUCACAUUUCAGGUAUGUACCACACCUUCUCCACUCGCUUUCUUCCCUAGCGCACCGUGGCCCCGCACAAGUAUAACCCCACGCUAAAGUUGAACAUGCAGCCCGCGGGCCAAAGGCAUGGCCCAAAGCACGGUGAUUUGGUCCGGCCCAAGCACGGCACGGCCCGACCUCAAUCGUGCCCGUGCCGGCCCGAAGCACGUAGCGGGCCGUGCUUGGGCUGACCUCUCGGCCCGCCGGGCGGCACGGUGUCGUCCCGAUAUUAGGGAACUUGUGAAACUUGAAGUAUCAAGUUCUAUGACCUGUGAAACUUGUGACUUUUGGCAAGUGAAAUAUGAUUUGUGAGUAUAUUGUGUUAUGUAAUUUGUGAAGUAUUAAUGUCUAUGACUUGAAUGUGAUUUACUUAUGCUUUCUUGAAUUUUGUAUUAAAUUUGGUGUUUUUAUAUAGCGGGCCAUGGGCUAGCCCAAAGCACUAUUGGGUCUCAUGCUUUUCGAGCCGGCCUAGCCCGAAAAUCAGCCCAUGUGUCGUGCCUAGGCCAUCAGGCAUGGCCUGGUGGCACGCGGGCCAUACGGCCCAUGCCCUAUUGGGUCGUGCCUAGCACGGGCCCGUGCCGGGCCGACCCGUUGCUCAUCUUUACCCCAGCCAGGUUUUCUAGAGCAAACUGCCCGCUGAGCAGCCACAACUUUUGCACAAGGAAAAACAUGGCAAAACGACAAAACCCCCGUGAGACCUGCAUAGCUAGCAACCUUGCGUGCCGUCGCUCUCGCGAUCGCGGCGACGCGAAAACACCACAUCACGCGCCACGUGAGCGUGGCAUGCUGACCGCGACACAGUGGGCGCUAGUGCGGAAGGCGUAGUCCUGUCUCACGGUGACCUUCCAGAUCUGAGAGGGUGAAAGGUCCUUGUUUGGUUUUGGUAAUUGAGUGACAACUUAGGUGGACUAAUAGUAUUUAUGUGAGAUACACAGGAGAUUAGUCCACAGGUGAUGAUGUGAUGAUGGAGGAACUCAUUGCACAUGAGACAUGACAUGGAGUCAUGUGACCAAGGUGGACAAGAUCAAGAUGAGGCUUGGCUUGAUGGACCGGUUGCAAGAGUGAAGGACAAGUCGGAGGCUUUGAAGCAAGGGACCGCGUGUGACGGUGAAGCUUGAGCAAGACUUGGCGCCGAUGGACUGAGGCAACGGUGAAGAGCAAGCGAGGUCAAGAUCGAUGAACCAAUAUGGUCACGUGAUGAUAUGAAGUGGAUCAUAUCAUUUGGGGAUUGGUUGGUGCAUGUGUUGUAUCAACAUUGGAGGAGAUGGAAUGGAAUGCGCAAGGCAAAGGUAUAACCUAGGAGCAUUUCCAUUUCACCGGUCAUAGGUGUGUAGAGAAGUUUAUGACUAGAUUUAGGAUAGAUGGUUGUACUAUCAAGAGGGGCAAACCUGUUUGCAUAUCGGUCAUCUAGUGCCACUUGAGCGAUCCAACUUUGCAUAUGUGUUAGGAUCGAGUGGCGUGGUAAGUUUGAGAGGCUAACUCCUUUGGGAAAAUGUUUGUGAAAAUGCUAACACACAUGCACAUGGUGGUGUACACUUGGUGGUGUUGGCACACUUUGCAAAGGAAGUGGAGUUCCUAGGGUUGAGAGGGGUUUGGGUUCCUCUCUCCCUCCAGCCGAGCUUGCGAGGCGGAAUUCGCCGCUUUUGAGAAAAUUAAGUGCAUAUUUUCUACUACGCCGGUGGGAAAUUUGGAGAAGUCGCGUGAGUGUUUCUCACUACCAGACGUUGGUGUUGGCAGCACCGGACGCUGGUCCAGAACGUCCGGUGUGGUGUCAGUCUGUGGCGCAGGUGUGCAGAGUGCACCGGACGCACCGGAGUGAGUCCGGUGCUCAGCGUCCGGUGUGCGGGCGGUUUGGCGACCGUCUCUGCGCAUGAGUCCGGAGAGCACCGGACGCUCAGGGUGCGUCCGGUGGCUCGCGUCCGGUGACCCUGCGAGUUUGUAGAGCUCUCUGCACACGGGUCUGGUGUGCACCGGACACAUCCGAUGUGACGCAGUAGAGCGUCCGGUGGUGCUGUGCAGACGCGCGUGCGCAGUAGCUGUUGGCGGCAACGGUCGAUUUCAAACGGCUAGUGACACGUGGCUGAUGCCUGAGCACUGGACGCUGGGAGUUGAGCGUCCGGUGGUCCCUGCAGUGGGUCCGGUGCCCACGUGUUUUGCCCGGUGAAGAGGCAACGACUAGUUUAGCCCUUGAGGCUAUAAAUAGAAGUGGUGGCUAGCCUUGGCUGGUGCUGAGCACCCUUGGGACUUAGUGUCCAUGCUUGGGUAGUGCUAGUGAAGCCUCUAACUCACACAUGCUUGAUAGUGAUCAUCUAAUUGUGUGAGUGAGCGAUUCUAGUGCGUUGCAUUGAGAGAUUGCAUCGAGUGGCACUAGGUGUUCGUGUUGCAAGCCGGUGGUGCUUGUUACUCUUGGAGGUUGCCACCUCCUAGACGGCUUGGUGGCUUGUGACUCCGUCGAAGCACGCAAGGAGAUUGUGCGGUGCUCCGGAGAAGAGAUUUGUGAGGGGUACGGUGCUCACCCCGCGGGGAUCGCGAAGAGCAACUCUAGUGGAUUGCUUGUGGCUUGGAGGAUCCCCAUCUUGAGAGUGGAUGUGCGGCAUCCGCUGAGGGUUUGGCUUCAGAAUGUCAAUUAGCUUGUGAUCCAUCAAGUGGGUGUAUCGCCACAACGAGGACGUAGCUUGGUGGCAACCAAGUGAACCUCGGUAAAAAUCACUGUGUCAACAUUGUCUAUUCUUCUCAGUGGUUUGCAUUCACUUUACACAAGCUUGUAUUUACAUUCAAUAUACUUAUUCUUGUGAGUUGCUCUUGUAAUUAGUUUAGCUUGUGUAGCUUGCUAGUUACCUUCUUUCUUGUGUAGCUAGAAGUAGCUUCCUUGCGUGACUAAUUCGGUUUGUGUAACCUUGUUAGUCACAUUGCUUAGUUUGUGUAGCUAAGUAAGUUGCGCUCUCUAAUUUAGCAUUAGUUGCCUUGUUAUUGAGCUUGCUAGUGAGCUUAGGCUUUGUGCGCUUUGCCUCACUAGUUUGUGUAGGAGCUCCCCCGGUUUGCAAAGUACUAGUUGCAUAGGUUUGUGUGACCUUGCUUCUAGAAUUGGUUAGGUGAGCUCUUGUUAAGGUAGCACCUUGUUUUCUUGUUUAGGAUCUUUUAGAAGGUGCUAGAGAACUUAGAUAGAGGGGUGUAGUCUUGGCUAGACCGAUAGAUUUAAUUCUGCAUUUAUUUUAUAUUUUUAGAAAGGACUAUUCACCCCUCUAGUCCGCCAUCUCGACCCUUUAGAGGGCUUGGGGCGGGUAAACUGAUGUGCCUUGUAAGUUCUGUUUCAGUUUAUGAGUUCUAAAAUAGCAUGCAACAAAGCCCUAGAGUUUUGAUUAUGGGUCCUGGACUCCGGCACAUGAGGAUUUAUAUCAGCAGCCCCAAUGAAUCUCUCGGUUGCAGCCUCCCAUGCAUGACAACUCGUACCUCUGCAUGUCUAUCAAUGGAGUAGGCUACUCGGUUAGAGCAUUCAGUGUUAUAGAUACGGCAUCGGGGAAUUGCUUGUAGAACUCAUUUGACGGGUGAUUGGCACAUAUAACUAUAUCUCCCAUUGCCAGAGCUUCAGCAGUGGUCGUACAGACCACAUCUGUGGUGCUGGGAUUGAUGACACUUUAUACCAGUUGGAAAACUAGUGUUUCAAACUUUGAGUCCAACACAAACAGUUGGUGUAUCCUAAGUACAUUAGAAAUGUUAGGGGUGUUUGGAUGCAGGGCUAAAAUUUAGUUCUUGUCACAUCAGACAUUUGGAUGCUAACUCGAAGAGCUAAACAUGAGCUAAUUAUAAAACUAAUUACACAGGGAUAGACUAAUUAUCGAGAUAGAUCUAUUAAGCCUAAUUAGUCCAUGAUUUACAACAUUAUCAAAUCAUAAACAAAUUAGACAUUAAUAGUUUCAUCUCGCAAAUUAGCCUUCAUUUGUGUAAUUAAUUUUGUAAUUAGUCUAUAUUUAAUACAUCGAAGUGGUGUCUAAACAUUUGAUGUGACAGAGAUUAAACUUUAGUCCCACAAACAGUUGUAUGUGUAACUUGUGUAUACUACUAUGACAGUUGCAUAUGUAUCCUAAUAAGUACAUAAUUUUGUGUAACCUGUGUUCAGUGUGUACGAUAUAUGACGCAGGACGAUAUCACGCUUAGAAAGGAUCAGAACAUUAUCAACAAGUUAUGUUACCAUAAUGCCCACCAGUUUAAUCUGGCAUAAGUAAGCACUGCACCACAAACACAAUCUGAUGAUGAGAUUCUAACGCUAGGCUGAAGGCUGACUCUACUCUACACAACACUUCAUGCACGGGUCUGCUCACGAAGAGUUCACAGGGUCGGGUUCGGCUCCGGCGUGCUCCACAAACUCCGAAGGAGUAAGGAAGCUUCCAUGGCAGAUGCAUACUAUUCUGACAUCUUCUGUUUUCUUGUUAAAGUUGGGCAGCCUUCAUUAGAUUGUGCUUCUGUUCGCUUGAACUUAUCUGCCGAAUCUACCAGUCAUUCAACAGUAUUUUUCUAUCACAAUAAAUCAACGAGCAGUACUUUCAUAUGUGACUUUUCAGACAAGCGAACGAGCUCAGUGUUCUGUAAAAUAGAGUCAGAAUUGAGCAUAGUGUUAGAGUAGAAUCUCAUCGUCAGAUUGUGUUGUGGUGCAGUGCUUACUUACGCCCGAUUGAAUUUGUGGGUAUUAUUUAUGGUAACAUAACCUGUUGAUAAUGUGUUCUCAUCCUUUCUAAGCGUGAUAUAGUCGUGCAAUUGUCAUACGUCUUACACAUAGAAUCAUGUUAUGACAGUUGCAUGUGUAUCCUCAGUACAUAACAUUGUGACCUGUGUUUCCUGAUCACAAAACUUACGUAUUUACUCCCUUCAUUUCAAACUAUAAGUCGCUUAGACUUUUUUGGUACACUUAUUGUGCUAUAUAUCUAGAUAUAAUAAUAUAUAUAUGUCUAGAUACAUAGCAAAAUAUAUGAACUAAAAAAGUUAAAAUGAUUUAUAAUUUGAAAUAGAGGUGUAAAUUGGGGUUAACGAGAUGACCCUAUCUUGGGCUCUUGGUUCGUGUUAUAUAGAUAGAGAAAAGCCCCCUAUAUGGCAUUUACAGGAUGGUUUGUUACAACAAUCUCCUACUUCUCCUCAUGUACACAGAAUCACGCAACAACCUACGGCACGUGCUCAACAGACUUGAGCCUUGUGCAUGUACAGUGAACCUAGACAAUACUCUAUUGUCUAACAUCCUCCCUCAAUCUCAGCCACUAACAAGGUUGAGAUUGAACCUAAAUGUUCUCAUCUUGGACAACGGCAAAGGCUUAGUAAAGCCAUCAAUAAGCUGAUCGUGAGUAUUAACAUAGCAUAUAUCCGGUAGCCUUUGAGCUACUCGCUCCCGCACAAAAUGGAAGUCAAUUUCUAUGUGUUUUGUUCUCGCAUGAAAAACUGGAUUCGCUGACAGGUACCUUGCGCCAAUGUUAUCACACCAAAGACGGGGGGCAGAAGGAUGUUUGAUCUUAAGUUUUGUCAUCAAUUGCUGAAGCCACAUGAAGUCAGUUGCAUUAGCCAACGCUUUGUAUUCUGCUUCAAUACUUGAUCUAGAGACAGUUGGUUGUUUUUAGCACUCCACGAUACAAGAUUCGGCCCAACAAACACUGCAAAUCCUCUCGUUGACCUCCUAUCGUCAACACAUACAGCCCAAUCAGCGUCUGAGAAAGCACUGACCAUCAUAGAAUCUGAUCUUCUGAUUUUUAAACCUAAUUUCAAGGUCCCUUGCACGUACCACAAGAUUCUUUUAACUACACUCCAAUGUACCAUAGUCGGGGUAUGUAGGAAUUGACAUACCUUAUUAACCACAAAUGAUAUAUCAGGUCGAGUGAGUGUAAGGUACUAGAGGGCACCCACUAUGCUUCUAUACUUCACUGUAUCAUCAGGUCUAAGCACAACUCCUUCUGACGCACUCAACUUCUCGGUUGUAGACAAGGGAGUAUCAACUGGCUUGCAAUUCUUCAUUCCAGCAUGUUGCACAAUAUCUGAAGCAUACCGCAAAGAAAGGCAUUUUGAACAUCUAAUUGUCGCAAGGACCACCCUUUCGAUAUUGCCACUUAUAACACAAGUCGGGUUGUGGCAGCUUUGACAAUCGGGCUAAAUGUGUCUUCAUAGUCUAUUCCAUAGCGUUGCUUGUAACCUUUGGCUACCAAGUGUGCUUUGUAUCUGUCAAUCAUGGCGUCCGCCUUUCGCUUGAUCUUAUAGACCCAUUUACUAUCAAUGAUGUUCCUCCUCUUGGGAGGAGGCACAAGGUGCCAUGUUUUGUUUCGCAUCAAUGCACUAUGUUCAUGGUUCAUUGCAAUGACCCAAUUUUGAUCUUGCAGCGCCUCAUUGAGAGAUGAAGGUUCACCUACAUCAGAAGAUAGCAGCAUACCCCAUCAUACUGUUCCGUUAGUAUAGACUUUAGGUUUACUUAUACCGUGUUGCGCGUGCGUGACUGGGCGUGCGGCUUCUUCUCUAGCUGAAGCCACAGAAUCCACACCAGUAGCAGCAGCCAUACCAGAUCCGAGCGAAUCAGAUACGCCGGCGACAGGAGCAGUAGGCGACAGAACCUGCCCCCCAUCACUAAUGUGGCUGGUUCACAGGUGUUGCAGAGGCGUGUGUUGGCGAAGGAGUCGCAGAAGAUCCAGAGGAGUCCAUCGUGACCCCGCCCGUCGUCGUCAUUAUGUGCGGUUGGUGCAGCACAUCCCGCAUUGAUCUUGGAAGAGCUUGAGCAGAUUUUGAGUAUGAGGUGCAUAGAGGGCCGUGUCUCCAUGUCGGUCCCGUUUCCCACUAAGGAACACAAAAUGACACAUGUUUCUAGACGAAUUUGGAGCAGAUUCUUCAUUGCGUUGAGCCCUGUGUGUUCCUGUUACAUCCACAGAUGAACUAUGACUGGUGCCAUGGUGAGACAGGGGUUGAUUAGCAUCACAUUGGUCAAAUAGAAUUGUAUCCCCAAAUUGAGAAUUAGGAUUGAGUAAAAUAUCAGGAAGGAGUGAUAGUUCAACUUGAAACCGAGCACUGGCGUUGUGGUGAAGACGUGAGAAAAGAAAUACAUUCUCAUCAAAGACCACAUCACGCGAGAUGUAUACACGCCCAAUAGAAGGGUCCAAACACUUAAACCCCUUAUAGAGAUUACUAUACCCGAGGAACACACACUACUUAGAACGGAACUCGAGCUUGCGUGCGUUAUAUGGUCUUAGAUUCAGCCAACAAGCACACCCAAAAGUGCGCACGAAGGAAUAAUCAGGUUGUUCACUAGCGUUCAUAGGGAUUUUCAUUAGCAAGGACUUUGGACGGAAGCCGAUUUAUAAGAAAAACGGUUGUAGAAGUGAGCAAGGAUAACCCAACCUCUACGAUAUGGCAAUGCUUGCGUUUAGUUGAACCGUUUUGCUGGUGUGUGUGGGCAGGACACGUGAUGUUCUAUGCCAAUGCGUGUGAAGAAGGAAUGCAUGGACUGGUAUUCACCGCCCCGGUCCGUUUGCAUGGCACAAAUUUUGCAAUCAAAUUUCCGUUCUACGAGUGGCUAGAUAUUACGGAAGCAAGAAAACACUUCAAAUUUGUGCUGAAGGAAAUAUAUCCAAGUUAAUUUGCGGAAGUCAUCAAUAAAGCUGACAUAAUAUGAAUAGCGACUAACAGACCCGGGAUCAGGUCCCCAAACAUCUAAAAAAAUAAGAUCCAUGGUCUAGUGCAUACACUAGUGGAUUUAGGAUAGGGCAAAUGAUGACUCUUGCCCAUCUGACAUGCAUCACAAUCAUGUUCUUAUUUGCAUUUCUAACAAAUGGAAGCCUAUGGCGAUUAAUGACUUGCUGGACUACUGAAGUGGAAGCAUGGCCUAAACGAUGAUGCCAUAGGGUGGUAGACGGCUUGACGGCAGCAAGCACUUGCUUAUUCUGAAUCGACUCGGAUUAACAUGACUUCAGCGGGUACAGUCCACCCUCACAUUGGCCCCUGAGGAUGACCUUCCUCGUACCCUGCUCCUUGAUAAAAAAAUAGUUAGGAUGAAACUCAAGAAAUGCAUUAUUAUCACAUGCAAGACGAUGGACAGAUAACAAAUUUUUACUAGCUUGUGGAACGUGAAGAAUUCUUCGAAGAUGGAUACUGCUAGUUGGGGUACGCAAAACACUUGAACCAAAAUGAUCAAUGCCCAUACCUACACCGUUGGCGGAGUGGACUUGAUCUUGGCUGCCAUACUUGUCACGCAUUGUGAGCUUCUCCAGCUUGCUUGUCACGUGAUCAGUAGCGCCAGAGUCGACAUACUAGUUGGGGUCGACUCCGUAUGAGGUGGUGGCCGCCUGUGCAUUCUUCGGCGGUGGGCCAUUAUAGUUGGCGGUGAAUCUCUUCAAGCAAUGGACAACAGUGUGUCCCUCCUUGAUGCAUAACUGGCAGAAGACACCUUGCUAGAAGUUAGGGCCGCGGCCGCCUCCGCUACGUCCAUGGCCACCGUGACCGCCGCCUCCACGACCACCUCCCCCACGGUUCUGUUGUGGAUUGGAGAAGUUUCCCCCACUGCGGCCUCUCUUGGCCACCAUAUUCACCGAGACGUUGGUUCCUCCACCUCGCAGCUCCAUGUGUUCAUCAAAACUGACUAACUGAGUGUAGAGUUCACUGGGCGUUAUGGGUUCAACCUGUGUAGCAAUGUCGGAGACGACGGGGUUGUAGUCUGCGCCGAGUCCGGCGAGGAUGUAGGAAACCAGUUCCUCGUCCUCCAGCUUACGCCCUGCCGACGCCAUAUCCUCGGCAAGGCCCAUGAUCUUGGCGAAGUAGUCGGCGAUCGACGACGUCCCCUUGGACGCGUUCGCCAGCACAUACGGGUGGUGAUCACGCGCGCACGAGAUUGUGCCGCGUUCAGCCCUUUAAUUGCAGCCUAGAGCGCGGUUGCGGUCUUGGAAGAUGAGACCCGCAUGAAGGUCUUCUUGCUGAGCGAACCGAAGAGAUAGCUCAUGACAGUUUGAUCCUUUGCCAUCUAGCCAUCGUACUCUGGAUUGGGCAGCGGAUCAAUGGCCUUGCCGUCCUUGUCGACUUUCUCGUCGGUCUCGAGGAAUUCCGCCGGCGGCUUGGCCGACGCCUUGAUGAAGCGACCAAGAUGGGCACCUCUGAUGGCCGACUCGACCUGGGCGCGCCACAUAGCGAAGUCGCUACAAAUGAGUUUCUCCAUCACCGGUAUGAAGCCGAGCGAAAAGGCCGUGGUCGCGACGGCGGCAGAUGAUGACUGCGACAUGGAUCGAUUCUAUAGGGAGAUAGGCUCCAGAUACCAUGUAAAUUGGGGUUAACGAGAUGACCCUAUCUUGGGCUCUCGGUCCGUGUUAUAUAGAUAGGUAAAAGCCCCCUAUGUGGCAUUUAUAGGAUGGUUUGUUACGAUAAUCUCCUACUUCUCAUGUACACAGAAUCACGCAACAACCUACAGCACCUGCUUGACAGACUUGAGCCUUGCGCAUGUACAGUAAACCUAGACAAUACUCUAUUGUCUAACAGGAGGGAGUAUCUAAUAAAUGUUGACAAAAAAACUGAAGAAGAAUAAAUUGCUUUUUACUAUCUUUACUCUCGACAAUGGCAAUACCAAUUUUGCAUUCAAACUCUUAACUUAGGCCUUGUUUAAUUCCAAUUUUUUUAUUUUUGGUAUUGUAGCACUUUCGUUUUUAUUUAGGCCUUGUUUAGUUCCUCAAAAAUUUUGCAAAAAUUUUCAGAUUUCCCGUCACAUCGAAUCUUUAGACGUAUGCAUGGAGUAUUAAAUAUAGAUGAAAAUAAAAACUAAUUGCACAGUUUGGUCGGAAUUGACUAGACGAAUCUUUUGAGCCUACUUAGUCUAUCAUUGGACAAUAUUUGUCAAAUACAAACGAAAUUGCUACAGUGCUCAUUUUGCUAAAAAUUUUGAAACUAAACAAGGCCUUAGCAAUUAUUGUCCAAUUAUAGACAGGUUUAAAAGAUUCAUCUCGCGAUUUACAGAUAAACUGUGUAACUAGUUUUGGUUUUUGACUAUAUUUAAUGUUUCAUGCAUGUGCCACAAGAUUUGAUGUGACGGAGAAUCUUAAAAAGUUUUUGGUUUUUUUGUUGAACUAAACAAGACCUAGAACCGAGGGAUGUGUUAGACAUGUUACACAUGUACAAAUGUAUAACAGAAUAAGACGGAAUCGGUAUUGUGAAUAAGAAUCUUACUCAUGGAACAAGGGAUCUGUGCGACUGUGCCUGAUCACGACCAGGAUGAACAUUGGCAGCCAAACUUAAACGUUUGGCAGAUUCACAGACCUCAUCAGAAUCUUCUCCGCUGCCAUAUAAAUCUACUUCAAGACCAACCAACUUGCUCUGAUAUUUGGACAGCAGAUCAAGAAGCUCCCUGUAUCCCUUACUCCGUACCAUCUUCCCGAUGUAGUAUGCCCCUUUUGUGAAGGCUUUCACCCCCGUUCUGCAGCUGCCUCAACUUUAGCUUGCCUAUCUCAAGAAAUUUUGGAUUAAGACCAUGGACAUUGCAUAUAACAGACCCGGGCAGAUCUUGGGUGGCACCUGAUAAUCUGAAUUAAGAUCAGAAUAAUUUAGUACAUGGCUCAAUCAAUCAGGGCAGGAUGAUAACAACUCUGGGUGUUCAGUUUUCCAAAUUCAACAAUUUAUAUAGGAGAAAGAAAACGAGCAAAUGCAUUUAUAUGAGAAAACUACAAGGUACAUAAUUGACAUAUCUCUUGAAUCUCUCUCUCUCUCUCUCUCUCUCUCUCUCUCUCUCUCUUUCUCUCUCUCUCUCUCUCUCUUUCCCUUAGUAUAGUAGCAAUAUAAGAUAACAUUGCAUGCAAAUUCGGAAAAUUGUUAUAAGUUCAUUAAAUAAGCAAGAGGCGACCGUGACUGGCUACCACAAAAAACUCUUCUAGAAUGUUUGUUGUACAUAAGUAUCUAAUUGCACUUCUACAGUAAGGUUAGCUACUUAUCAACAAAGUAUGCCUAUUCCUAGCAUUAUGAUUGAAAUUAAAAAAAAAUAUUGUGUUGAAAUCCAUACUCUUGCUCCCCCUUUGUAUUUAGAACUAAAAAUUAUCCUUAACCAAAUCUAAUACUGAUUUUAUAUGUUCCGGGAGCUAGGUUGAGGUUCAUUUUGCCCUCAUGAGAUCCUCUUGAGGCUCUUUUAGGGUAUCGGCCGAUGCUAGCCUGAUGUCCUAGUGUCCCAAGGCAAACUCCCUAGCUACUAGCUUAACACUAGUCACCAAGCACUAGGGAUGAAAAAUGAAAAUGGAUAUCCAACAUUAUUCGUAUCCACAAAACUUGUAGUGUGAAUGGAUAUCUAUAUUCUUAUCAUUUUGUAAUGUCGAUACUAAAAUUAAUGUAUCUAAAUUCGCUUUCAGUAUUUUUCUCUAUACGAUUCUGAAUCCGUAUUCGACAAAAAUAUAAAACAUCUAACAUUUAUCAAUAUAUGCAAAGAACAAGACAUAAUGAAUUUACUUGAAGUUUUCUCUCCAUGGUUAAGAAGCAGUUCUGUGGUUCGAUAAAAAUAUGAAUUAAGUGACUUAUUAUUUAAUUUUACUAUUACUAAUGACGCAAUGAAACUACUUAACAGUAUAGAGUAACAUUUAGUAUUAAUUUUAGUAUUUUCUAAUUUAGUUUAAACCUAAUAUAUAAGUAACAUUUAGUAUUAAUUUUAGUUCUAAUUUAGUUUAAACCUAAUAUAUUUGUUGUUAUAAAUUAUUUUAAUUCUUUGAUUUAAUUAUUUACUAAUUUAAAUUAUUUUAUAUAAUUUAUAAUUUCAUGAUAUAAAUAAUAUAUAAGUAAUGAUUGCUUAAUUGAUAUAUUUAGUUAUUUGUUGGAUAAUGGAAAUAUAUCCAGCUUCAUCUCUCAUCAACAUACACAAAUGUUGAGAAAUGUUAUUAAAUAUUUAUUGAUAAUUAUAUUAAUUUUAUGAGUAUCCUUGUCUAUGUUACAUACCCACAUACUUUAAUCUCUACUUGUGUUGUAAUUUUAAAAAUAUAUUGAUAAAGCAAAAUGGGCACUUGUUACCUACCAUUCUUAUCUGAUCUUCACUUCACCUAUCAUUUAUUAAAUAUUAUCUAUUAUAAUUUAGUUCACUUGAUAUUGGAUAUUAUUAGAAGUGUACUUUGAUUUCAUUUCACUUUGGUCAUUGUUAAACUUAGAAGUAAAGUUCUAUUCAUGUAUGUUGAAUCUAACAAUGCAAUUUAAGUUGAAUUUGAGAAAAAUAUUCUAAUAGAAGAGAUAUCCUUUUGUAUUCAUAUUUGAAAAUAUUAGUAUACAUAUUCAAAUUUGAAUUAAAAUGUCAUAGAAGAUGGUAUCCGGAUCUAUGCGAAUCCGAUCCUUUUCCAUCCCUACCAAAGACCACGACCAUAUGAGACCAAGUGUUAUAUAUCUUGAAAUAUCUAAUUUUAACGUAGGUUAUAUGCUAUUCCUACUAUGAGGUACGUAGUGGCUUGGGUCUAGAAAGUUUAGAAAAAAAAACUGACAGAACAAAGAAUUAAGACACGUACCUAUGUAUGACGUAUUCACGUAUCUAUUGUUGCGGACUGUAUUUGUGUAUCGUCGUUGUCUGACGGCGACCUCGACACAGAAAAACAACGGUGUUGUGCUUUCGGUAGCAUCUUUCUACUCGUCGCCGUAGAAAAACGACAGAAAAAACUGCAUGGAGGACCCAGGAGGGGGUACUAACGGUGUCCUCUCCGGCAUACGACAUGUACGACGAGAGGCGCCGGUGUCUCCAUGACCCGGCCAGGUCUCCAUGGCUGCCAUAUCCAUGGACUCAAAUCCAACACUGGUCUACCCAGGGAGACAACCAAAUUGGCCAUGGCCUAUGUCACUGAAAUUAACUCACCGGUCACUACCAAGUGGGAGGAGAGACGAAAUUAACAGGCAGCGAAGAAGAGUGCAAACAAGGACGAGAUAAAUGCGCGUGGGGAUGAUUCUGGUAAUGUGAAACCGAUGCGUUUUGUCAUCUCGGUCGAUCGAGCAAUAAAUUAAUCCAUAGAUCACUUCCAAGUAUACUUGGCCAAACGGACGGUCCGGCUCUGGCACUAUACGGCACUAUGUGGCACUAUGUCUAUCGUGUUAUGCCGUCUCGGGCCAUCGUGCUAAAACCUUGGCCCAGACACGGCACUAUGGCUCUUUAACCGUGUCGUGUCGUGCCGUGCCGAUAGGCACGGUGGCCCAUCGUGCCCGUGCCGGCCCGUGGCUUCGGGAGAAGUCGAGAAGCUCACUGCGUCCUGCCUCAAGGAGAAGACGAGCGCCACCACUAUCGUAUAGUCAGGCGGAAGAAAGAGUGGCCACAGCAAGGAUGCGUCUGCACUGCCGAUUAGGGAGUUAUGGUUUGAAAGGGUUGUGUGAUGCUUAUAUACAUGACUCAGAAUACAUUCAAUGGUCAUAAUCUAUCCUCAAAGCAUCAGAUGAUGGAAAUAAUCAUACCAACAUCGUGUCAGCCUAUUACCCGUGCCGUGCCUAUGCCGGCACUGCGGCCCGAAGUUGCGGCCCAGGUACGGCACUACCACCGGGCCGUGUCAUGCCUGGACCGUGUUUUUUAGUGUCGUGCUCGGGCCGGCCCAUCGUGUUAGUGCUAGAUGGAAAUCUAUACUUCCAAGUGAGUGGUGUUGCAUAUAUAUGGUGCAAGCAAAAGCUGUUCUCUGGGUAUCAAUUCAGAAAGGGAUCAAAGAUUAGGCUCGUGAUUCUGGUGUUAAUAAUUAAUCAUGGGGAUAAUAACCGAGCCAGCACGGAUGCCGCAGCUAACCAUUCCACAUCUCCCCGCGGUGGUUUCGCCACGCCCGCGCAUUGACGAACAUGCUCGGGCUGGCUCAGCUGAUCCAAGGCAAUCUUUUUUAUACAAUCCCUCUCUUUAGAUUAUAGAUUAACAAGUCUUUCUUCAUGAAGAUAAUUAUUACAAUAUUUUGAGGAAUUUGGUCUGUUAGAAAUGAUGUCAUUUUCAGAAACCGAAGUCACUUCCUGCAAGCUGUUAAAAUCAUCUUCAAGCAGGAAUUAGCUUGGGUUAUGCUCAGGGCUAAGAAGUCUAACGGCUCCCAGUUACAGCUAUGGCUAGACAACUUUGUAUAAUUUUACUUAUUUUCUUUGUCACCUUCUUGGUAUCCUGAGGAUAUAGUCUAUAAACAGUGGUCUCAUUUUAAUAAAAUAAAGUAGGAGGCAACCCCUCCUUAUUCCCUCAAAAAAAAAACACCGCCGCGUGCUGCGUGCAGAGUUUAGGCAUUGGUGGCCUUGCAGUGCAUGGCCACAGAAGAGCUGAAGCAACCCGGUAAGCGUCGGGUUUGGCCACUUUUUUCGCCUCGUUUCCGUAGCAGUGCCCAAGGCUGACUUGGCCGAGAGGGAAAUAAAAGCCAGCGAGACAGUGACAGAGAUGGCAACAAAAUCAAUCUGCGCCGGCUGGACUAUAGCCACAAUGUUGGUAAAAGUCGAUCCUGAAAUUUUUUCUCUGAGCACGAGUAGUAUCACCGUGGUAGAUGAUGCUGAGUUAAGAAAAGUAAAAAGAAAAUUGUCAGCUAGCAAAUUACUUUGUUGUGUUUUUAGUUUCAUAAAUAGUCUAUAUUUAGUACUUUGUUUACUUUCGAAAACUUUUUAGUUUUCGGGACUGUAGCACUUUCGUUUUUAUUUGACAAACAUUGUCCAAUCGUGAAGUAACUAGGCUUAAAAGAUUUAUCUCGCGAUUUAUAGAUAAACUGUGUAAUUAAUUUUUAUUUUCGUCUAUAUUUAGUGCUCCAUGCAUAUGGCGCAAGAUUCGAUGUGACGGGAAAUUUUGAAAAGUUUUUGGUUUAAACAAUGUAUGUAUCUAAACAUUUAAUGUGAUAGGCAGUAAACUUUAACAGGUGCGACCAAACAUGACCUAAGCGCCAAGGAGCGCUGUGGACUGUGAGUAAAGAAGUCGUGUUCAUCGGUUUACUUCAACAACUGUGGCUGAUCGGUGACUCUGAGUGAAGCCAGGUUUGCGGCUUUGCGGCUGCAGGCUACGAAGGCCAUCUUCAAUGCAGCUAGUCCAAUAGAUGCACUGCAGUAUUAGGAGUAGUAUGUUUUUUUUAUGAUUUGUUUGUUCUCGCUCAAAAAGGAUGAUUAAAAAUAUUGUUUACUCAUUUAUUAUGAGAUAAAAACAGGCACUAGUCAUGGACAGAGAAAUAAAAUUCAUGUGGCCUGCAGUUGCUUCUUCUUAUACAUUAAAUUUGCUUUCUUUCUAAAAAUUUUGGUAUUUUGUAUUUCAUUACUCCAAAGUAGUUGACAUUUUGUAUUUUCGAUUCUAUGGGGAACUAAACACUCUUACCUAGAAUAGGGUUUUGUUUAGUUCCAAAAAUUUUUGCAAAAUCAACACUGUAGCACCUUCGUUUGUAUUUGACAAAUAUUGUCCAAACAAGGACUAACUAGACUCAAAAGACCCGUCUUGCAAAUUAUAGGCAAACUGUACAAUUAGAUAUUAUUUUUAUCUAUAUUUAAUGUUCUAUGCAUGCGUCAUAAGAUUCUAUGUGAUAGAGAAUCUAAAUUUUUUAUAAAUUUUUUUAGAACUAAAUAAGGCCUAGGAGUAUUUGGGAAGACAGAACAGAAUGGAACAAGAGAAGGGAACAGAACAGAGUUCGGAAUUGGAUUCAGUGACGUUUCUGGUCUUCGAUGCCAGCCACAGCGCGGUCACCAACAAUUAUAUUCACGCAUCCGCACGGCUCAAUACACGGCCACGGCCUCAGGCAAACCGGCCCAUCACCAGGCACGCAGGCCCACUAACCCGACACACUACACCACCUGUUGCCAGACGCGCAACAGUCAUAGCCUGCGCACCUGACACUUCACUACUGUUCUGUGUUGCUGUCAUUGGGUUUUAGCACUUGUGGCAACAGAUGCUAUGCCUAUGACGACAGUUGAAGCAUGAUGCAUGAAAGCUUUGUAGAGUUGCAGUUCCAGUUCCGUGUCAACGCAACUUAGUUGAGCAAGCAGCGAGGAUUACUAGGACUAAUUGAUGAUGUCAGGUCACUGCGGCCAAGUUUUAGUAUCAGGUGUGAAACUUUUCCCUGCUCUAAGUCGUAGGAUAAAUUGCCCGUUCUACAUCAUUGUGCCAUCUAUUCAGUCUUUUUCUCAGACAUGUUUCCGGAAAUUGCCAGUGUCAGUGUCAGCUUAUCGUGGAUUCGUACUCUACUUUCUUUAGGUAGUGGAAUAAGCUUAGCAUGCUCCAGCCUUUCUCUACAGCUGAAAUACAUACGGAUGGCGCACCCAUUUUUAACUACUGGACUACUGGUCUAAGUUAUUCAGGCAGUAAAGUGAUUUGGAGCUAGUGAGCUACUAUGUGCCUGCGUGAAGUCAUGGCUGCUAACACUAUCGUGAGCUUCGUUUUCUGGAACACCUACAUACAUACAAGGGGAAAAAAAAGUUGCAGGACUAUAUCACACUUAGAAAUAAUGACAGCAUUAUCAACAGGUUACGAUACCAUAAUGCCCACCAAUUCAAUCGGGCAUAAGUAAGCACUGCACCACCAGAAACACAAUCUAGACUGAACUGAAGACUGACUCUACAGAACACUUGCUGCACGAGUCUGCUGGCGAAGAAGGGUUCACAGGUUCGGGGUAGGGUUGAUGAAAAUGUAUUGCAGCGGGUUAGCUGCCUCGCCGUUGACGGCUCCGGCGUGCUGCACAAACUCCGAUGGAGUAAGGAAGCUUCCAUGGCAGAGGCAUACGAUUCUCAUGUCAUCUCCUUCCCUGUAUUUAUACAGGAAGCCAUCAACCUUGUUGGGCAGCCCCUUGGUGAGCACGCCCGGCAUCUCCUGCAUCAACCUCCUUUCCACGUUCCCCCAUGGUAUUUGCACUUGCGGCACAGCAGCCCUGCCGUCUCCCCUGGAACCAAGGGCUGCUGCUCUUCUGGGAGCCAACGACGAAGGCGGUGGUGGACUUGCAGCCGUCACGCUACUUGUAGCUUCACCAGAGGGUACAGAUGAUGACGACUUGUUCUCCUUAGUGACGGCUUUUCCUAAAAAAAAAAAUAUCAGGAAUGAGUAUAAUAUAGAGCUUAAUGAUGAUAAAAAAAUCCAAUGAAGGGAAGAACCAUUAGAAUAGAAAGUCUAUCAUACACAAACAGCUCACGUCUAUAUAAUAAUAACUGAACAAUAUAAGAAUCCAGCCUCCAUCCAUCUAUAAGAGCUGAACAUUGUAGAAUUUUGAAUUUUCCAGAUUCAGCAAGGGGCUUAUUAUGGCAUGAAAUGUCUAGUGACUAUUGAAGAGAGGACCCAACAGAGAUUCUCACACAGCAUAGCCUUUGUUUAGCUAAUAACCACUAACAUCAAAUGUACGUAAAACAUCUCGACGCAACAUACAUAUAGAACUCCUUAAUUAAGAUUUAAGAUCAUAGAUGUAAAUAUUAGCAUUGAUCUUUGGGCCCAAAGUCCUAAUUUAAGGGCAAGAUAAUCCAGUUCAUUCAUGUAUUAUUACACCUGUGGUGCAUUGGUAAGAUUCAUGUUUUUGGAAGCAUGAGAAAUGGAUACUGAGAAUGCCUAAACUGUGUACUUAACAUACAAAAGGGGAUACCUUUGAAGGCUGAGUUUGGCUUCUUUCUCAUUGCUGACAAACUAGCUUGUGAUGUAAUUGCAGCCUGGUGCUUUGGGGCCUUCCCCUUCGCCAGAUGCUUGCCACUGCUAUGAUUUUCGUUAUUGCCCACAACAGCUUCAUCACAACUUGCUAAUUUGUCAGUGUGUGCAUUCAUCUUUUCUGGAAUCUGCCUGGUCACUUCUUUUGAAGUGCUGCAAGUGAGAGAGUUCCUCCUCUCAAUCCUUUUCUUCUUAACCUCGAGUCUCCUCAGACUCUGUGCUUCCUUACGUUUCUUCCACUCUUCAUUUCCAGCAGCCUCAGUGACAGCAGGGAGUGAACUAGUCCUCAUGAGGGUGCCACUGCCUGCAAUACUCAGUAGGUAUUUAGAUAUUGAGAAUUUGUGAAAAACUGUUGAUGUUUAUUUGAGGCAACACUGAGAUAUUCGAUUUCUCAACAUGUGAUUGUUACCUUAAAACAUGUAUUCUUUCUGUUUAUUUGCAUUGCCAUUAAAAUUUUAACAAAUCUACAUAUAUAGUAAGUUAAUUAAAAAAACAAUUAGCAAAACUACAAUUUUUUGAAAGUACUUUAGAGUUUAGACACACAUCUGUGCAUAUUGCUUCUGCACAUAAGUAUUCAUGGAAAUAUCAAACAAUAAACUUCAAACUGUUAGUGCAUCACACACAGGUAAUUAGUAAUCUUUUCUCAGAGACAUUUGAUGAAGAAAUACACACCUAUAACAGAAAGAAUGACUGAAUCAACAGAGUUCUCUGCAAUAAAAUAUUAUGCCGCCUAGAGUACUUAACACAAUUUUGGAAAAAUAAUUCACUACCAUUUACCAAAACGAUCACAAUCGGCACUGCUAAGCACGGAAUCUAAAAGCCAAAUCAACUAUCAAGGGUAGCAAAAUACUAAAAAAAAAAGAUAGUAUAAACCCCAGAAAGAGAAGCCGCGCGCACGUACGCACCUAGGAAUCUCUGCCCAUCACCUUCCGGAGAGGCAGAGGAAGGGCUCCCGCUCGCCCGCGGGUGGGCGGGCGGCGCCGGCACAUCAACCGGCGUCAUCAUGGCCGCCGCAGAGGACGGCCGGGGGAGCUUGUCCUUGUCCCUCUUCCUAGCAGGCCCGAACAGGCCGCCCAGAGAUAGCUCAAGGCUGAGCUCUACGUCCUCCUCCAUCGCCUCCCUCGGCUGCCCCGGCCUCUGCUCCGGUGGCGGCGCGUCUCCCUUGCCGAUGCCGCGCAGGAAGUCCCUCGAAAACCCGUCCAUCGCGAGCGCAGGCUUGGCUUGUCACAGGAAGGAAGCCUCAGCAGUCAGCAGCGUCCGAGAAGCGCCUGCAAGACGGGCAAGAGCUGAGCGACGACGCCGCAGGAGCAACCCUUCCCUUCCCCGGCCAACAAGAGGCGAGGGACCGGAGCAGAGAACAGAACACGGGAUGAGAGGCGACUUACACAGGUUGCACGGAGGAAGAAGGAGGCCGGCAUUGGAGAGAGGUGACGCGCUGCUGCUUCUCCUCGCGAGGAACAGGGGAGAAGAGAGAAGAGAGUGAGGGAGGGAGGAGGCAAAGCCUUCUGCUCGUUUUUGGGGCAUGCGGUUCCGCUGGGGAUGGCGAAGACGGGGAAGGCCUGCCUCCGGCACGACGCGCGCGUGUUUAUAGGGCGGCCGACGCGUGGUGCCAAGCUUGCGCGCCACCGCGCAGCCGCGGCGGGGAGCCAAGCGGGGAUGCGGGGCUCGCCAGCCUCGGCUGGGGCUGAUGAGCCGCGGGGUGUAGGCAGCCUGUCAUGGACGGGCGCCGUGACCGGUGGAUGCCCAACACGCCAACAGGCCGCUGAUCCCUUGGUAGCUAGAUUGUAGGAGAUCCGAGGGCCUUCAAUUGCCGUCAUGGCAAUAUUUUUGUUUUCGAAAGCCUAAACUUGGUCGCCCUCCUUUGUUCAGAUGAGAUCUUCUGUCAUCUUCUCUAUUUUCGACGUGAAUUUUUUAUUGUCGUCUUCGUCUCCGGCGAGAUCUCUCGUCAUCGUCUUUGUCUCCGACGAAAAUAGUCUUUCGCUAGUGGGUUCAAGUAGUAUUUGGGAUUUGUUUGAUUCUAGACGUUCUUAGGUUUAGAGGUAGGACCAAAGGGGUAGGAAAGGAUGCUGGCAAGGUAUAUGAUAUAAUAGUUGAGUGAGUCGUGGGACACCGCUAGCAAAGAUGACAACGGAUGGCUUAUGAAAGGCUUGAGGUUAAGGUAUGGCGAUAGUCAUAAUGGUGGUGGUGGCGGCGUCGGGGGUGGGGGUUUGUGGAAGAGGGGCAAACUCACUACAAUAGAGUAACAAGGUGGAAAGGCAAUAGAUCCAGCGGGAGCCGUCUAAAUGGGAGGAGAAGCAAGAAGAACAAGAAAGCGAGGAAGAAGAAGAGUCAUACGUCACGCUCGCUGGCAGAGAAUAAUAUAUCAUACGAGAGACUUAAGAAAGAAUAAGAUUAGUCGAAGAAGAUAUAACUGCGGAAAAGUCGAAACGUGUCCCGGGUGAGAGGAGACAAACUUUUAUCUACAUUAUAGAUUUUAUUUUCAGAAAUGCUAUAUGACACUUUUUAACCUACAAUUAUUUCAUUGCAAAAGAAGAAACACUUUCACAUAUUCACUAGCUAUCGUAUCUUUGGUUCAUAUAAGCCAUAUUUAAAAUUCUGACCUGAAUAUAACUUAAGGAUUCUUUUAUGUAUUUGGAAACUUUUGACCAAUUACAUGUUAUGCUUACAAAUAAAAAUAAAAAUUACUUUAGUUAAAUGUUAUGUCUAUUUCUUGCCUUUUAAAACCUCUCAUCUCUGAUAAUUUAUCAAAUCUAGUUUAUGCUUAGGGCUUUGAAUGGGUAAGAAUUACUAAUGUUCUCCGGUGAUAAACAAAACCAUUGUGCGCGUGUGGCGGUCAAGGAAAGAAAAUAAAAAACUUCAAACUUUAUUAUGGCAAUGACUUUAAUACGGGUGUGCGGGCGAUAAACACAUUGCAUGCCAACACGCCAACCAUAGCUUCUUCCCUAUCUCGCCCACACGCGCCCUAUCUUCCCUCCCCCUCCCUCUCCCCGACGACCUCCUCCCAACUCCAGCAAGCGAGCGUGUCUGGCGAUGGCAUGGACUCUCCUCUCCCCCUCUCCCUCUUCCCCGGCGACCUCCUCCCCAACUCUGGCAAGCGGAUCUGGUGGUGGCAUGGAGGAUCUGGUUAGAUCUGGCGACAGCCUUGACAGAUCCAGCGAGGUAGGCUCUCUCCUCCUCCUCCUCCUCCUCCUCCUCCUUCUUAGGGGUUCGACGAGCUCUCCCUCUAAUCUUCCCAAAUUUCGGCGGUCUUAGAAGGAAAGGAGUUUGGGGAGGAUGGCCGGCCAGAUGGUAGGGAUGCUAGCAGGUGGCUUAGGGCCCUGAUGGCAGUGGAGGUGAUCGGGCAAGGUCGGGGCAGGGGAAGAGGAAGAAGGUGGCUCCAUGAGUGAGAUAUAGGGUGUCGCCGAAGUUCUGCGAUCGCGGCCACGGCGGGCGGAGCUCCGGCGAAACCCUAGAUCGCUGCGGCUUUAGAUGGCCAUAAGGCCCGUGGCCCAUCAGCAUGACCCAUUGCCUGCUGUUUUGGCCUAGCCUAGGCACAACCCGGCACGAUGACCAUAGGCCCCAUGCUGGCCCAGCCCAAAUCUAAGGUCGUGCCUAGGUCUCUACCUACCUUAGCCCGACAUGCUAGCUCGGCCCGAUCAACCACCUUUAUUUACUUCCCAUAUAUAUAAAUAUAUAAAAACCCUAAUUCACUCCUCAUGAUCCCUGCCGCUGCACAUCUGUUUGGCUAUCUGAUGUGCGGAGUCCAUCACACACCUUCCUCUUCUCAUGUGCUACUCUAAUUUUUCUGCUCCCUUCCAUCGUGCAUCCCACAGCCACAUGUGUUUUCCCUCUUGCGACCGUCCACCCCUCCACCUCUGAUUUCUCUACUUCCUCCGCUGAUCUAAUGCGUGACGCUCAACACCGUCGCCAACUGUAGCACGUCAUGGCUCCAACACUAGUGUCCCUAGUCGAGCGACUGCAGCACACUCCAACAUGUGGAGCCCCUCUUCUCUACCUGUGUGUGCGAUAGCGGCAUGUCGAGCCUAGCAGGUCGUCGAGCCGACUUGGCAUGGGCCGCCUCCUUUAGGGUCGUGCACUCGUGCUUGGGUUAUUGGUGCAGCCAGCCCGAUGCACCUGACGGGCCAUGCUGGCCCACUGACCUCUAGAUCAUGCCGAGCAUGGGCCUGUGCGAUGGCAAGUCGGGUAGCCCGAAUAGCCAUAUGUAGCUGUGGCGGGGCGGCGGAGUGGUGGGCGACGACGGGGACGAGAGUUGCCUAGGAUAAGAGGUAGAAGGUGCUGGUGAGGAGGAAGAAAGGGAAGAGAGCGGCGCGAGGAAAGAGACGGCCACGCAACGAAUGCACGUGCGUUAGCCACAUAUUUUUAUUAUAUACAUCGGUAUAAGAAAGUUAUUGCUUGUAUAUUUGAUCUAUUUUAUAUUUUAACACUGGAGUGACAAGUUAAGUAUUUUUAUCUAAAAUCCUAGUCUUCAAGGAUCUUAUUAAAAUAUUUGGAAAAUAUUUGUUUAAUUUCACUAGCCAUGAGAAAACCCCUUGCCACUGGCUACAUUCUAAGAGGAUGGUUGCUUAACGGAGUUAAUAUUGUUGUCAGCUUCAGACUCUUCGGAGCAAAAGAGAUCGGCUUGGCUUGACUGGAGCCAAGAAUAGAGGAGCACCGAAAGAAAAAUCAUCUCUAGGAGAUCAGCACCGAUUAGGAGCAAAAGACAGAGCCACAUCAUGCCACGUAAGGACGACAAGAGCCAACUUGCCAAGUCACUGCCCAACUUGCCCGGUCACAUUUCAGGUACGGUACCACCGCCUUCUCCACACACUUCCUUUUACCCAGCGCACCGCUUUUCCACCGAAAAAACUGGCCUCGCGAAGGUAUACCCCACGCCAUCGCCCAUCGCCCAUCGCCCAUCGGUAGCCGCCGGGUUUCCAGACCCAGAGCAAACUGCCGCAAAACGGCAAAAAAAACUCCCGCGAGACCCCGCGUAGGUAGCGUCCUUUGCGUGCCGCCGCUCUCGCGAUCGCGAGGACGCAACCGCGCCGCCAUCGCAUCGCCACGCCACGUGACUGCGCGCGGCCCCGGUGGUGGGCGCCUGGCCGAAAGGCGGCAGUCCUUCCUCGCCCGUGCGGGGCGCGUGAAUAGGGUGCUGCCGUGCCGUGGGGGCCCGCUGGGACGGUAGUGAUGCGCUACGCGCGAGACUAGUCCCUCCGCUCACGCGGCCGGCCGUGGGCUCGCGCGGUCGCUGUUUCGCAGAAGCGGGGUGUCCCGCGGCGUGAUUGGACGGACGGCCAGGAUCGUGCGGGCUCCAUUCCAUUGCUGGUGACAGUCGCUGAUUAAACCAGGUGGUCUGUGAAGUUGGCAAUAAUCGCUUUUUCAUCAUGGAAGACUCUGGUCUUAGUUUUAAGUUUGAAAAAAAAAAAGUCUAUUUUUCCUCCCCAAAUUUCAUAAAAGUCUGAUUUUCUUUCCUCAGCUCCAAAACCGGACAAACCAUCUCUCAUAAUUUUUCAAACCAUAUGUUUUAUCUUUCUAGAGUGGUUUCGAAUGCGGUUUUGCUACCGCGAACGAAUGGUGGUUUUGGUACAGUAACAGUGGUUUUAUCUUUUUAAUUUUUUUAAUUAUUUCGGCUAAGGCCUUGUUUAGUUCGCGAAAAUUUUUGGAUUUCGCUACUGUAGCACUUUCGACUUUAUUUGGCAAUUAUUAUUCAAUUAUAGACUAAUUAGGCUCAAAAGAUUCGUCUCGCAAAAUACAGGUAAACUGUGCAAUUAGCUAUCUUUUUUAUCUACAUUUAAUGCUUCAUGUAUGUGUCGCAAGAUUCGAUGUGACGGGGAAUCUUGAAAAAUAUUGGGAACUAAACAAGGCCUAAAUCUUUGAAAAUCAUAGUAACUCACAGAAAAAUCAUAAAAUAAAAAAUCUAAUUUUGUUGGACUCCAUGUAAGUAGAUAUACACAAUGAAUAUAUAAUAUGCUAUGCUUUAGUACACAGUUUUUGCUAUAAAGGUUUUGUCUUUUUUUCUUUUAUAUUUAUUCCGACUAAAUCAUUGAAAAUCAUAGUAAAUUAUAGAAAAAUCAUAAAAUAGAAAAUCUAUAUUUUUUAGACUCCACAGGAGCAUAUCUACACAUUAAAUAUAUAAUAUAGUAUGCUUUAGUAUAGUUUUUUUGUUAUAGCUUUAGAUCUAUGUUUUUCUGUAAUUAAUUGAAAUAAUUCAUAGUUACAGCUUUUAUAAUUAUUUUGUCGGACUAAAGCACACCCAUAUUAUAUGUUUAUUGUGUAUAUAUACUCAUGUGGAGUCCAAUAGAAUUAUAUUUUCUAUUUUGAGAUUUUUUUAUGAUUUUUUAAAGAUUCAACCAAAUAAAUAAAAAAGGAAAAAACAAAACCUUUAUAGCAAAAACUUUGUACUAAAGCAUACCAUAUUUUAUGUUCACUGUGUAGAUCUACUUAUGUGAAGUCUAAAAAAAUUGGAUUUUUCAUUUUUAUGAUUUUCUGAUGAUUUACUAUGAUUUUUUUAAAGAUUCAACUGAAAUAAUUAAAAAAGAAAAAGAUAAAACCACUGUCACUAUAGCAAAACCACUGUUCACUGUAGCGAAACCGCCUUCGAAACUGCUCCAAAGAGGUAAACUUCACGGUUUAAAAAUUGAGGAAGAUAAUUUACCUGAUUUUAAAGUUGAAGGGGAAAAAGUGAACUUUCGUGAAAAUUGAGGAAGAAAAGUAGACAUUUUCCUUAAAUUUUUUUAAUGAGCUGCUUGCUUGUGGAUCUACCAUGGCCCAUGGGCUCAUGGGGUGGUUCCUGGAGGCACUCCUACGUUUUUGAUACAUGACGGCAAAUAAAAAUUUUGUCUGCCUUUUGCUAAUCCUCGAGACUGAUGCUGACAGACUCAAAUAACUGAGGCCUUUUAGAACGCAGGAAUUUCCCAUAAAUUAUACAGAAAUUUUGUAAGCAUCAGAUGAUUUUCAUAGAAAAAAACAUAGGAUACAGAAAAAUUCCAGCGCGUAUGCCAGGUCACUUGCUGGUAGCACGAGUGCAUCAUACCUCACAGCUCGUUACGAUCCAUUAAUCGACUCGCAGGAUCACGGCACUUUUCAAAGAAUCCUUAACCCUAAAAGCUAGCACACCAAUUGACGUCCCAGUAAUCAAUUCUAGUAAAAAAGAAUCCAUCCGGAUUGUCUGGUAAUGACCCUUUGAGAAGAAAAAUAGUAAAUGUUUACUACAGUCUAUGGUGUGCUGUACAUGAAGCGAAGCAACGCAAACAUUACCCUCAUCUUAAAUUUCAGCCUUUUCCUCUUUACCGGAGGAGCCAAGCCAAGGUUUUUACAGAGGUGCUCGUCAGGCUGCAGCGUCUUGGGAACAACACCAAAUGCACAGACAAGGCUUGGUGCAGGUAAACUGAGGAGUCCUUAAGUUCUGUUUCAGUUUAUGAGUUCUUACAAAAGCAGACACUAAAGCCCUCGAGUUUUGAUGGGUCCUGGACUCCGGCACAUGAGGAUUUCUAUCAGCAGCCUCAAUGAAUCUCUCAGUAGAAUGCAGAAAGAUUUGCCCAAUUUGCAGCCUCUUUAGUAGAAUGCAGCACAGACUCUGAACCUUAACAGUUCUGAUUGGCUCAGCACAAUGCCCCAUUAGUCUACGGCUUCACAUACUUGUCGACAUACCCCUGAAGAAAAAUAAAACCAAGUCAGUGGAGCCAGAUAUUUAUUGAAACAAACAUGUGCUGAACAAGAAAAAUAGCACGGUAGAGAGCUAAUGGAGAAUAUGGUACCGUUGGUUUGGAAAUAUUAGAUUUGGGGGCUGAAUCACAUUUUCUUAAGUAAACAUGGUGAUACAAAGCUCUCAUUCCAGAAAAAGUAUGUGAGCUCAAAACUUGCAAGCACAGAAUCAGAUAGUUUGAAACAUUUCUAUUUCUAACUUGACAUGUAUGCCAUCCACUUAUGUGGGGCCUAUUGAUCCAGACAGAUUUUAAAUCCCAUGAUGGAAUUCAGAAACUUAAACCAAGAUGUCAGUCCAAGUGAUGAAACAAAUUAUUGCCAUAUGAUGACCAAACAAGAUAAAUGUAGACAAUAUACUCAAUUAAGUGACAUUACCGAACUCCACUAAAUAAUUACCAAAUUUCUGGAUGACAACAUAACACGGACUUCAGGACAUCAGAGCUUAGGAGCUUAAUAGCAUGACACCAACUAAUUGUGACUUGUGUUUCUCAGUAUCAAAUAUCAAGGGCAUGGCAUAAUUUCCACUUCUCCAUGAUGUUCACAUGCCAUGAACAAGACUAUUGCAUAAUAUUGUCACAGAAUGCUACAAACAUAUGAACAGAAAUAAUAUGUACGCAAAUAACCAAUAUUCUAGACAUGUGACGAUAGACAUACCAUUACUAAUUUGGUCACCUUCUUUUGAGAGGAUUGUACAUAAUGUUUAAUCCUGGCAGGUGUUUUCGGAAUAUGACUGCUAGGGACUGAAUUAGAAACCUUAUCAACUGUUUUCCUGACAAUAGUUUUGAAAGCCUCUUUGCUCAUGUUACCUUGCCUCCAUGAUGGCUUAAGAACUUCCUUAACAAAAUCGGCAAUAGCAAUCUUAAAAAGUUUCAUUGACCUGGAGUCUUUACCCUUCUUAUUUGUGUCCAAUGUUUGGUCAUUGUCAGCAUCACCAGGGAUAUCUGAGUUCCAGUCUUUAGCACCCAAAAAUUCAGGACUUGCAUUCUCCACCACACCUGCCUCAGUAUCUGCUGCCACCUCUCCAAGUCCCUCAACUUCUGACUCAGCAACAACCCCCAGUCCAUACAUAUUUUCACUGUCCACUUCUAGGUUCAUAAGUUUUGAUGCAUCACGACUAUCAGCAGCACUCCAGUUCUUCUCUUUACGAAGAUCUACCUUGUUGAUUGAACUGCUCGAUGGUUCAAUACUGUCAAGCAAUGGAUCAUAUGGAGCACCAGAAGCAAACUCCUGACGGAAUAACUUUUGUUUAAUGGGCACAGGUUCUGCAGAACUUUCAUGGGCAUGUGUUCUGGAUCGACCAAAAGGGGACACUGUAUUCAUGUGUUCUGUUGUGGAAACAGAACCAAUUGCAUUAGGGCUUACAGGAUCCCCAAUAUCUAGACUUGGAUCUGUUUUAUCAAAGGUUGAUGCAAAUGGAUUGUAGUGGGGUUUGAUAGACGAUUUAGUCAAAUCAACAUCAGAUAGGGGACCAAGAUUGUUACUUCCUGGUACAUUUGAUGGAAAUCUCUGGAAAGAGGGAUAAACCAAGUUACUUCCUGAAUCCAGAUUCCCAGGAGGUUGGUGCUGACCAUAUGGAGGCUGAUGAGAUGAAUAAGAUAGACCUACACCAGAAGGCUGCUGGUUAGAAGGAAUUGCUGGUGGGAGAGUAUGAUGAUGGAAAUUGAAUGGUCUGGGAUGAGACACAUCUUGUGGAGGGUAGCUUCUCAUCUGGUUCUGCAGGAACUCAUUUGCUGGUGCAAUAACUUUAUGCUGGAACUGCAUUUGAGGGAAUUCUGAUGUUGUAAAUGUUGGUUGUCCUGGUGGCUGAAUCAUAUUUGAGGAUGACAUGUGUUCAGGAGGACACAAACUCUGAGGAUGAGACUGGAGAGGAUCAGAUGCCAUGGAGCUCUUGGUAGUUUGUACAGACAUAUACGAGACACCUGAUGCAGGUUGGCUCAUAAGAAUUGGGUCACCUGCUGAUGAAGACACAUUUAAGUCCGAUCGAGAUUCUUGCAUCUUAUGAGUACCAGCAGAAGCAGCCACUGGUUGUGAAUGCUCAGAAAUUAAAUUGUCACUGUGACAAUGCUGCCCAAGGGCAACAUCAAACGCACCAUUAUCUCCCACUUUGCCAAUUAAAUCAUUAGAAGAACUAUCCAAUUUUGAUGUCAAUGCCAGGCCCUCUUGCUGAGCAACUUUACCUCCUGAAUCAUUGCCAUCACCAGCAGGAUGAACCCGCUUAGCAAAUGGUGGCCUGCUCUGCUUUCCAGGUGAGCAACUGAAACAAGUUUAAUACUGUUAGACUCCCAAAGGGAGCAAGAUAUACAUAUCGAAUGCCAUAACUUAUAACAAAUAUAAAUACAGAAAUACAAUUACACAGAUGAACUGAUGCAUCUAUUUAAAGUUCAAGGUAAGGUACAAGGCAUCGUACCUUUGGGAUGGGCUGCACUUGUUUGCCCCCACUGGACUACCACUUCUACCCAGAGGUGACUUGCUCCGGGUUCGUUUCUUUUGUCUCCUCCCAUGCCUUUCACUACUUUGACUUCCCUCAAAUUCACUAUCACUUGUAUCUUCUUUGGCCAGAUGCCCAAGCACAUCUGUGCCAUGCUUCACUGGGUUGCUCUCAUCCUUCAGAUGAUAAUUUUCAGCCUUACCAUUUUGCUCAGUGCCAUGAGGGGUACUCACAUUUCCUUUUGCAUCAACAUGUUUCUGAUAAUCGACCUCAGUAUGUGGAUCACUUGAAUGACUGUGCAUGUUAUCUUCAUGCAAUAUCACGAGGGUGCUGGUAUCCUGAGGACCAGCAUCGGCCUCAUUUGCACUGUCAUCGGAGGCAUAACCUUGUAUUAGUCGGAAUGCGCUCCCACCAUCCUCAGUUGCAUGCACAGUUUUAGCAUUCUCACCACUACCAGGUGGCAAAUCCUUGCCAGGGCUUGAAACAUCACUGAUAGACUUCGACACAUCAACAUUUUCAGUACAUUCAGCAGUCACGAGCGAAGAAUUCUCUGGGGUAAGGGGCUGCCUUGAUGGAGAGUCGUCAUCCCCUGGAAAUUGCCAUGACAAAAUAAAUGUUUAGAAACAUGAUGAAGUGAAAAUUAAGCUGAAAUGCCAAAGUCAGGUACAACAUUCAUGCACAGUGAUGUUUUUCAUCGUACGAACUAUCAGUUGUCAUUGCUGUGACGCCAAAUGCAGCAGUGUGAAUAAAAUGCAAGUUUCAAACAGAGUAAAAGUAUCACUGUACUGAGAUGGGGGAGGAGGGAAAGGGGAGUGCUAACCAUCCAUAUCCAUAUCUGAGUCAUCAGAAACAAUUAGCUGAGUAGCUGGUUCCAGAGUUUUUGCAAAACGACCACCAUCAGAAGCGCCUUCUUUUGCUACGGCUUCAGUGUCCCAUGACUGUGCAGCAACAGGUGCAUGAGGAGGAGACUGUGAUGCUGGUGGUGGUGGUGGUGGAGGAGGAAGAGGAGGAGGAGGGGGAGGAGGAGGAGAAGGCGGUGGGGCAGCAGGUCGAGGUGGCGGUGGAGGGAGGGGCGGAUACUGUGGAGGGGCCUGAUGCAUAGCUUGUUGCGGAGGCAGCAUCCCUGGCAUUGGCACCGGCGCAUAACCUCUCUGCUGUGGCAGCAUUGGCAUCUGGUGCAUCUGACCAUGCUGCCCAAAUGGGUAUGGUUGGUUCUGCGGUGGCAGCACGCCAUGCUGGUACGGCCCAGGCGGAGGCCGAGGCCGCAAUCCAGGGUGCUGUGGGUAUGGUGCAGGCGGCGGUGGCACAGGUUGCUGGGGAAAGGACCCAGGCACCCCAGCUUGCUGCUGGGGCGGCGGCGGCGCGCCAGGGCGAUAGUGUGGAUUGAAGCCCCCUCCCUGCCCGUACAUCUCUAGCUCCGGAAUCAAUCAAUCCCUCGCGCGAAACUUCCUGCGAAGUUCAAAUUCCAAUCAGGCCUUGUCAACAGUCAGCGCGGAAUUAAAACCAAAACGAAACCACAAGCGGAUAACGCGGUUGGCCCGCUGAAAUCACCUCGGAAAUUUCCAAACCCUAGAUCAAACCGAAGCAGGGAUCAAACCAAUCGUGGUAGCAUCGGCUGCAUCGCCACAGACAGAGCUACCAAAGAGGAGGACGAGGAGGAGGAGGGCGGGCUCCGCGAUUACCUGCUACGAGUCCGGAAAGGAGACCCCGCAGCGUCCUGCGGGAGGCUCGGAUUCGGGUCGGAGCGGAACCCCCAGCUGCUCGCGAUGGCCUGCGACCCUCUGGGGGCCCCGGCGCGACGGGGCGGGAUCGAGCGACGACGGCGCUAGGUCGCUGCCGGCGCUGGGUUUGGUUAGGAUUGCGAGAUUUUGGUUUCGCGGUGCGCCAUGGGCGAUAUGGCCCGGUGGAGUGAGAAAUUACAAAGGACGGCGGACGGGUCCGUGCUUCGUGCUCUGCUUUUGCCUUGGCUUGCCUGGACCUCCCUGGAGAGUGGAGAGGCGUAGGUAGGACCUGAGGGGUCCAGGUGGGGGCCAUGGGAGCAGAGAGAGACUUAGCGUCUUCAGACCAUGGCCGCGCAAACAGGAUCCAACGGUCCAGAUUACCUCCAGACCGGACAGUAAACGGAAUGAAAAUACUGUCCAAAUUUUCCCAACAACGGAGCAUGCUGACAUAGUGUAUAUUCUGCUAAGUGGUAAUGGGUUCACUAGUUAAGGUUUUUAUGGUCAGCAAAUAAACAUCACUUUUACUGUAUGUAUGUACUUUCUAGGUGCAAUGACCAAAUGUCCGAAUCAAACUAGGGCUCGUUCGUUUGCCAGAUAUUAUUGAGCCCCUAAAAUGAUUCCAGCUGGAAUUGCUUCACAUUUGUAUAGUUAUCAUCAUCUGGAAUUGUUCCUGGGCUAAAUCCGAGGUAACCGAACUUAGCCUAAGAAAACUCCACUUAUUACCGGGGAAAUGAAAUGCAUGUAGGAAAUAAGCUUAGUGCUCAACUUUAUGUGGCGACUCCACGUUUCAUACUCCACACAGGCUGCUUUGGGUUUAUAAUGAGGGAAAACGCAAUGAUGGGGGGAUGGUGAGAGAAAAUUUUUCUAUGUGACACUGUUGCAUAGCACAACUUUGCGACAUCUUAUACCGAUUAACACGUGUGCAUGCAGCAAUUCACGUAGGUCCAGAGGGACACGUGGGUGUCGCACAGUUGCGUGUUGCGGAUCUCCUAAGGUUGUGGGGAUUGGAGAAAGAAUAAAGGGCGAAGUAAAGGCCUCUCUCUGAACCAUAGGAUUCAAUCCUAUAGAAAAUUUUCUAAGUGAUCUUCUCAUCUUUGAAACAAAAGGUUGGCCAUCCUAAAAUCCUACACAACUUCAAUGGAAUGGUUCAAUUAACAAUAAUUUUGGGGGAAAAUAACCUUUUGGAAACUUUAUUUUUGCCUAUCUCUCUUCUAAUUCUUGUGUUCCUCCUGUAUUCUAUCUUGUGUUUUCAAUCUAUAAUCUAUAAUCUAUAAAUCUCCUAUACCUAAAUAGGAGAUCUCCACUAUAGUAGAUAGUAUCUCUCUUGCUUCUCAUGCUGCCACAUCAUCAUAAAUCCUGCACACACUGUCAUAGCUUCAUUCCUCCACUACGUGGCCACCUUAUCUUCUCCACUAAAUGCAGAUAAAAUAAAACUAUACCAGAUGACUCCCAUGCCUUGGACCGAUUAUCAGUUUCAAAAAUAACUCAUGCGGAAGGCAAACAGCCGCGUCUGGUUUAUCACUGCAAUUAUGGCUUCUCGCCAUCUCUUCAAUUCCUCUACCUCCGGCUUAAAUAUCCCAUAAAACAUUUGUGACAGCCAAACAAUUUUCGCCCAUAAAUUAAAAAAAGUCUAAAUCUCCCAACUGCGACUCAGCCAUUGGUGCUGGGCGCCUUCCUUCUACGAGCAUCAGAGGGCACUCACAAUGCAGACUCUAUCAUGGAGUCUAAAGUUGUUUAUUACCUCGAACAAUGUCGACUUGGAGUCUAAAUAAGACUUGGAGUCUUAUUUUUUCUACAUCUUUCUUCAAUAAAUACGGUGCCACAUCAGCAAAAUACCAUAAAUAAUAUGUAAUUAAUUGUCUUGGACUCUGUGAUAGAGUCUUGCAUUGGGAGUGCCCUAAGAGCACUCGCAAUGCAGAAACCAUUGUGGUUUAUAUAGACAUUAAUUGCGUGCCACCUAAGCAUUUUGCUGAUGUGGAGAGUAAAAAUCAUAGAAACUAGGUCUAAGUUAGAAACCAUGUCUACACAAAAUCCAAGACAUGAAAUGGUAUGAUUGGCUAAGAAUGGAGAGAGAAUGAAUGUGAUUGGAUAUAAAAAUAUUAUAUAGAAACUAUCCAUUAGGACCAUAAUUUCUAUAUAUAUAGUGUCUAUAGAAAUUAAUAGGUAUAGAAACUAUAUGUAGUUUCUAGUAUUGGGAGUGUCUAAGGGUCAUUCCAAUCGCACAUGUAUCCAUCUGAAUUCCUAUAUAUGAUCUUUGAAAAUGUUACCUCUGUUAGGAAACAAGAUAUGUAACAAACUUGGAUUGUAACACGGCAUAUGACUUUGACCAUGUGUACCAAGGUAGCUGCAUUCGGUUAGAGUAGAUAUAAUCUAGUUAGCCUGGUUUGUUACGAUAGAAUCUAUCUCAACCGAAUGCCUUGUAACUCAAGUUGUAUUAUAUAUAUAUAUAUAUAUAUAUAUAUAUAUAUAUAUAUAUAUAUAUAUAUAUAUAACAUGAAGACGUGACAAGCCAAGAUAGGCAGUCACGGUUGCCAUCUCUUUUACAUGGUAAUCAGAGCACCUCUUCCAUAGAUUCAUCCAACAAUGGCGUCGUCCUCUUCCUCCGCCAACCAUAGCCACCAUUCACCCUUUGGGCCCUCCAUCUCUGAGAAGCUCACACGUGACAACUUCAUCCUAUGGAAGGCGCAGAUCAUGCCGGGCAUCCGGGCAGCGCAGUUCGAGGGAUAUCUUGAUGGAACUCGCGUUGCUCUCGCCAAGACCAUUGAUCUGGUGUUGGAAGACAAGACCAAGACGGUCGCCGUCAACCCCGAGUACGAGAAGUGGCUCAAGGAAGACCAACAACUUCUCACUCAUCUCAACAACUCCCUAUCAAGGGAGAUACUUGUGCAAGUGGCCACCAAGACCACGUCGGCGGCGGUCUGGGCAACGCUCGGGGACAUGUUCUCUGCGCAGUCCCAGGCUCGUGUGACCAAUCUGCGCAUGCAGUUGGCUAACUGCAAGAAGGGUGGCCAAACUGCUCCUGCGUACUACGCCAAGGUGAAGGCUAUUGGAGACAAGCUUGCUGUUGCUGGACGGCCGGUUCCUGAUGAGGAACUGGUGACAUUCAUCCUGGUCGGCCUCGACUUCGACUACAAUCCGCUGGUGUCCUCAGUGCUGGGGCGUGCAACUCCGAUCUCCCUGAGCGAUCUCUAUGCUUAGAUGGUCGCCUACGACAUGUGCCUCCAGAUGCUGCAAGAGAAUCACAACAGCGGCAACAACUCCUCCGUCAACGCUGCUGCACGUGGACGCGGCGGAGCCUGUGGGCGCAACCGCGGUGGCUUCGGCCGUAGUGGUGGCGGUCGCGGGACUGGGAACUUGUCCAACCAGUCUAAGGCUGGAGGACAAGGAGCGCCUAGGCCAACGUGCCAGCUCUGCAAGAAGAAAGGCCACGAGGUGGUCGAUUGUUGGCAUCGUUUUGAGGAGGAUUUCCAGCCCGACGUCAAGACUACUGGCGCAACGCACACAAACUACGGCGUCGACACCAACUGUUAUGCGGACAGUGGGGCUACCAACCACAUCACAGCAGAGCUGGAGAAGCUGACCGUCCGGGACAAGUACAAGGGCGUGGAUAAAGUUCACACUGCUAGUGGUUUAGGUAUGCAGAUCAGUAAUGUUGGUCGUACAAUUUUACAUACCCCACAAAGUUCUUUCCAUCUAAGAAAUAUUUUGCAUGUUCCCAGUGCUAACAAAAGCCUGGUUUCAGUUCAUCGAUUCACAUCCGAUAAUAACUCUUACAUCGAAUUUCAUCCUCAUUAUUUUCUCAUCAAGGAUCGAGCCACGAAGAAAAUUCUCCAUCACGGCAAGUGUGAGGGUGGUCUCUACCCACUGAAAGAGACUGGAGCACAACACCCUAGGCAAGCUUGUCGUGUCAGUCGACCAUCUACAUGGAGAUGGCAUAGUCGUCUUGGUCAUGCGUCCCUUCCCAUGGUUGAGAGAGUCAUUAGAGAGAAUUUGCUUCUUUGUUCAGUUAGUCAUGAUGUCGAGUCGGUGUGUGACUCUUGCCAAAAAGCAAAGAGUAAACAAUUUCCCUAUACCAGAUCAGAUAAUAAAAGUUGUGCUCCUCUUGAUUUGAUCCAUUCUGAUGUCUGGGGUCCUGCACCUAGUUCUGUUGGAAGCUAUUUAUACUAUGUUUCUUUUAUCGAUGAUUAUAGUAGGUACACAUGGAUCUACCUACUUAAACACAAAUCUGAGGUGUUCAGUAUCUUUAAAAACUUCCAAAACUUUGUUGAGAGGAAGUUUAACCGAAAAAUUGUGCAUAUGCAGACAGAUUAGGGUGGUGAGUACGAGCGACUAAAUUCCUUCUUCAAAACGCUUGGGAUCUCCCAUCGGGUAUCCUGUCCCCAUACUCAUCAACAGAAUGGUAGAGCAGAGCGCAAACAUCAUCAUAUAGUAGAAGUAGGUCUAUCUCUGCUUGCCCAAGCUUCCAUGCCUUUGAAGUAUUGGGAUCAAGCUUUCCUCACUGCUACUUAUCUGAUUAAUAUUCUACCGGCCAAGAUUCUUGACAAUAAAACUCAUGUUGAGCUCUUACUCAAGGAAAAACCAAACUAUAACUCUCUUCGGGUGUUUGGGUGUGCAUGCUGGCCAAAUUUGAGACCAUAUAAUACCAGAAAACUUGCCUUUCGAUCCACACAGUGUGUGUUUCUGGGUUACAGUUCCGUUCAUAAAGGCUUCAAAUGCCUUGAGCCAAAAACAGGACGUGUUUAUGUCUCAAGAGAUGUAGUGUUCGAUGAAGAAGUGUUUCCCUUUGCAACACUUCAUUCUAAUGCAGGCGCUCGCCUUCGAGAAGAAAUGACCCUUUUGCCUAACUCUCUUGCUCCUGUUAAUUGUGGGGAUGUAACUUGUCACGCACCUAAUGUUACUGAUGCUGUUGUUACUAGCGAUUCAGUUCAAAUACAGGAACACGGUGAUGUACAGGUUGUUGAUGAUAUACCACCAGAUGAGGCUAUGAAUCAGGCUGUCAUAGAAAAUCAGGACACAGGAUCUGAUGAUAAUGUACCAGCAGAAGCCGCGUCUCCGCCUGCGCAAAUCUCCAAGAUGCCGGCGCCACCCCGACGUCGUCGCGUGGGGGGGCAGGAUCAUUAUCGGGAUCGCAGUGUGUCCUCCCGCCACUGGACUCUGAUGGAUCUUCUGCAGAAGAACCAUCAGAGUCGCCCGAUGCAGCUCCAGUGCCUGAUUCUCAGCGGCUUCGACCACACACUCGGCUUCAAAGCGGGAUUGUUAAGCCCAAAAUCUACACUUACGGGACUGUUAGGUAUGCAAAUAUUGUUGCAGAUGGUGAACCAAAGUCUGUUCUUGAAGCCCUGAAUUGUCCCAAGUGGAAGUGUGCCAUGCAAGAAGAAUAUAAUGCUCUGCAAUGAAAUGGCACGUGGACCUUGGUACCACCACCACGGGGGAAAAUCUGAUCGUUUGCAAGUGGAUCUUCAAAAUCAAGAAGAGAGUUGAUGGACAGAUAGAUCGAUAUAAGGCAAGGUUAGUAGCAAAGGGAUUUUCGCAGAGGUAUGGUAUAGACUACGAGGACACAUUCAGUCCUGUGGUCAAAAUUGCAACUGUCAGACUAGUACUCUCAUUGGCAGUAACCAGGGGGUGGUGCUUGCGACAGCUGGAUAUGCAGAACACGUUUCUUCAUGGUGUUCUGGAAGAGGAGGUUUACAUGAAGCAGCCCCCGGGGUUUGAGAAUAAGAAGUGUCCCUCCUUUGUAUGUAAACUUAAGAAAGCAAUCUAUGGCCUUAAACAAGCUCCGAGGGCAUGGUACUCUAGAUUGAGUUCAAAACUCCUUGAUCUUGGGUUUGUGAUGUCUAAGUCAGACACCUCCCUCUUCAUCUAUAGAAAAGGCAGCGUGGAGAUAUAUAUGUUGAUCUAUGUUGAUGAUAUUAUUGUUACUAGUUCAUCUCAUGAAGCAGUUAGGGUAUUAUUGCAAGCUCUUAAGCAAGACUUUGCCUUGAAGGAUCUAGGAGACUUACAUUAUUUUCUGAGUAUUGAAGUAGAGAGAAAGCAGAAUGGUGAUCUUCUUCUAACUCAGAGAAAAUAUGCAAAGGAUAUUUUGGCCCGAGUCGGUAUACUGAAUUGUAAACCUGUUUCUACUCCCUUGUCAUCUACUGAGAAGUUGUCACAACGUGAUGGUGAUAUAUUAGGAGUUGGAGAUAGUACAAGGUAUAGAAGUGUUGUUGGAGCAUUGCAAUACAUCACUCUCACACGACCUGAUUUAGCUUUUGCAGUAAACAAGGUUUGCCAAUACUUACAUUCUCCCACAACUGUUCAUUGGUCAGCAGUAAAGCGCAUCAUAAGAUAUUUGAAGUGUUCAAUGAAUAUUGGCCUAUUGAUUCGGAAAAGGUCUCCUACUAUUGUGAGUGUGUUUUCAGAUGCUGAUUGGGCUGGUUGUCGAGAUGACAGGAGGUCAACUGGUGGAUUCGUUGUCUUUCUUGGCUCAAAUAUAAUCUCAUGGAGUGCCAGAAAACAACCCACAGUUUCUAGAUCAAGUACUGAGGCAGAAUAUAAGUCCAUGGCAAAUGCAACAGCUGAAAUGAUUUGGGUUCAGCAACUACUUGGUGAAUUGGGAGUAAAACUUAAAGUUACGCCUCGGCUCUGGUGUGAUAAUUUGGGGGCAACAUAUCUUGCUGCAAAUCCGGUGUUUCACACUAGAGCUAAGCACAUUGAAAUUGAUUUUCACUUUGUGUGAGAGAGGGUUACAAGGAAACAACUAGUUGUGAGGUUUCUACCAACCGAAGAUCAAGUAGCCGAUGGUUUUACCAAAGCGCUGCCUCGUGUGAAGUUUGAAGAGUUCAAGAACAAUCUUAAUCUUGUAGAAAAGACAAGUAUAGAUUGAGUGGGGGUGUUAGAAAACAAGAUAUGUAACAAACUUGGAUUGUAACACGGCAUAUGACUUGACCGUGUGUACCAAGGUAGCUGCAUUCGGUUAGAGUAGAUAUAAUCUAGUUAGCCUGGUUUGUUACGAUAGAAUCUAUCUCAACCGAAUGGCUUGUAACUCAAGUUGUAUUUUAUUAUAUAUAUAUAUAUAUAUAUAUAUAUCAACAUGAAGACGUGACAAGCCAAGAUAGGCAGUAACGGUUGCCAUCUCUUUUACAGCCUCCACUCGAAUGGCAACUCGGCGAGCCGCCAAGCCCAUCGGCGAUGUUGCUGGCCACUCGACAGGCUACAACAGGAAGCCUUCACCACCAUGAGCAGCCUCUGGAGCACGACGGUGACCAUGCACAAGGCCUCAUACCAUUCUGCACGGUGCUGCUGCAGCAGCAGCAGCACGACAGGGAGCACAUGUUCCUGCUGCUCAAAAGCUGUUAAUAUUUUGAAUUGGGUCUUGUUUAGUUGUGAAAAGUUUUUAGAUUUUAACAUUAUGGUAUUUUCGUUUUUAUUUUAUAAACAUUAACUAAUCAUGGAGUAACUGGGCGUAAAAGAUUUGUCUCGUGAUUUACACAAACUAUACAAUUAGUUUUUAUUUUCAUCUAUAUUUAAUGUUCCAAACAAGUGCCGCAAGAUUCGAUGUGACGAGAAAUCUUGAAUUUUUUUUUUAUUUUUGAGGUGAACUAAACAGGGCCUUGGUAGGUUUGCAUCUUCACCCGAGAUGAGUUGCUAGAGUGUGCAGGAACUACAAGAUUACCCAAAUAAAUAAAUUAUUUAUAAUGUAUUCCGUAUUUUGCAUCUGAAUCUCAUCUAAAUGUUGGUCAAAUUUAAUGGUAAAUGAGUUAGCUGAGAGGGAAGUGCAUUUGAUCAUGGUGCGUGUUAAUAUUUGAACUGUCCAUAUGCAAACAAUUUAGGCCUUGUUUAGUUCUUAAAAAUUUUCAAGAUUCUCUAUCAUAUCGAAUCUUGCGGCACAAUGCAUGGUGCAUUAAAUAUACAUAAAAAUAAAAACUAAUUAUACAGUUCGUCUGUAAAUCGCGAGACGAAUCUUUUAAGCCUAGUUACUCC
rnacentral:lncRNA from 1 species